ACCAGCGUGGUGUAGUGGUUAGAGCUUUGGACUAUGACUCUGGAGACCAGGGUUUGAAUUCCCGCUUGGCC